CUUGGGGGGUGGGGGUGUUCCCUCAGCAUGGAUUGUGAGAGGGCGCAGGCCAGGCCUAGGGACUCCACCGGUGCACA
rnacentral:pre_miRNA from 1 species